CGUCWUCGUGCGGCCGACUACAGGCGCCGUGUCCCGUCGUUCGUUUGGCUUAUAUGAUGAUGUCGCCUUUCAAGUGCUUGCGUGCUGGUACCCGACCUACGGGAAGUGGUGCUUCUAACACGUUUGCCUCGCGGUGGACACCUUCGGGUGUGCCGCUGCGGCCUAACGGCGCUUGCGGCGUUUCCUCGUGGUUCCGGCACUCCUAGUGCCCGGUGCUACCAAGGCAGCCUCGCUCCCGCUGUUGGUCUCGGAUGUUGCUCACGAUAAAGAGUCUUGGCCCUUUUUUGGUUGCUGAGAUSWGACCCUUACUCUGCUCUCAAAUUUAGAAAACCMCCGAGAACGUGUUUUGCCUCYCYCUCUCCACUUUUUGUGAUGAGAUAUAUAACUCUCUGCSCAUAUUCUCUCUCAUAUGAGAAGAUCGUGCCCCUCUCUCUCGACACCACGGGCGCGKGUGGUGYCUCCGCCUUGACACACAUGUGAAGGGGCAGACAGACACACACUCUAGAUCUCCAAGAACAUGUGCUACCUGGUAGAUCCUGCC
rnacentral:misc_RNA from 1 species